rnacentral:rRNA from 1 species
AGCUCCAAUAGCGUAUAUUAAAGUUGUUGCAGUUAAAAAGCUCGUAGUUGGAUUUCUGGAAGGGUGCCAAUGUCCGCCCUCGUGCGUGCGCAGCGGCGCCCUUUCAUCCUUCUGUUAACGCCUCUUGGCAUUCGUUUGCUGGUGGCGGGCUCAGAUAUUUUACCUUGAGAAAAUUAGAGUGUUUCAGGCAGGCUAGGCCGGAAUACAUUAGCAUGGAAUAAUGGAAUAGGACUACGGUCUCUUUGUUGGUUUGAGGGACUGCAGUAAUGAUUAAUAGGGAUAGUUGGGGGCAUUAGUAUUUAAUUGUCAGAGGUGGAAUUCUCGGAUUUGUUAAAGACUAACUUAUGCGAAAGCAUUUGCCAAGGAUGUUUUCAUUA